AGCGUCUUCUGUUGCGGACUUGACCUACUUUAUUUUUUACGACAGCUGACAGGACAGAAAGAGAGCAAGCAAUAAAAUGGCAGAAGCUACGACACACGUCGUGUAUAAUCUACAGCGGUACCACCGUGAAAGCUCCCAAUCUCCUUUGGUCUCUGAAGUACAGAGUAGACGAGAUGAGGC
rnacentral:lncRNA from 1 species